UACGGAGGGUGCAAGCGUUGUCCGGAUUUAUUGGGCGUAAAGAGCGUGUAGGCGGUUAGGUAGGUCCGUUGUGAAAACUCGAGGCUCAACCUCGAGACGCCGAUGGAAACCAUCUGACUAGAGUCCGGAAGAGGAGAGUGGAAUUCCUGGUGUAGCGGUGAAAUGCGCAGAUAUCAGGAGGAACACCGGUGGCGAAGGCGGGUCUCUGGGCCGAAAUUGACGCUGAGGAGCGAAAGCGUGGGGAGCAAACAGG
rnacentral:rRNA from 1 species